UAGGGAAUCUUCCACAAUGGACGAAAGUCUGAUGGAGCAACGCCGCGUGAGUGAAGAAGGUUUUCGGAUCGUAAAACUCUGUUGUAAGGGAAGAACACGUACGAGAGUAACUGCUCGUACCUUGACGGUACCUUAUUAGAAAGCCACGGCUAACUACGUGCCAGCAGCCGCGGUAAUACGUAGGUGGCAAGCGUUGUCCGGAAUUAUUGGGCGUAAAGCGCGCGCAGGCGGUUUUUUAAGUCUGAUGUGAAAGCCCACGGCUCAACCGUGGAGGGUCAUUGGAAACUGGAGAACUUGAGUACAGAAGAGGAAAGCGGAAUUCCACGUGUAGCGGUGAAAUGCGUAGAGAUGUGGAGGAACACCAGUGGCGAAGGCGGCUUUCUGGUCUGUAACUGACGCUGAGGCGCGAAAGCGUGGGGAGCAAACAG
rnacentral:rRNA from 1 species